UACGUAGGGGGCAAGCGUUGUCCGGAUUUAUUGGGCGUAAAGAGCGUGUAGGCGGCCAAGUAAGUCUGCUGUGAAAACUCGAGGCUUAACCUCGAGCUGUCGGCGGAAACUAUUUGGCUAGAGUCCGGAAGAGGAGAAUGGAAUUCCCGGUGUAGCGGUGAAAUGCGCAGAUAUCGGGAAGAACACCCGUGGCGAAGGCGGUUCUCUGGGCCUGUACUGACGCUGAGGAGCGAAAGCGUGGGGAGCGAACAGG
rnacentral:rRNA from 1 species